AAGGGUCCGGCAGGCGGAUUUAUAAGUCAGUGGUGAAAGCCUACAGCUCAACUGUAGAACUGCCAUUGAUACUGUAAGUCUUGAAUUCGGUCGAAGUGGGCGGAAUAUGACAUGUAGCGGUGAAAUGCUUAGAUAUGUCAUAGAACACCGAUAGCGAAGGCAGCUCACUAGGCCUGGAUUGACGCUCAGGGACGAAAGCGUGGGGAGCAAACAGGAUUAGAUACCCGAGU
rnacentral:rRNA from 1 species